GAUGAAGAACGUAGCGAAAUGCGAUACUUGGUGUGAAUUGCAGAAUCCCGUGAACCAUCGAGUCUUUGAACGCAAGUUGCGCCUGAAGCCAUUAGGCUGAAGGCACGUCUGCCUGGGCGUCACACGUCGUUGCCCCCCCAUCUACUCCUUCGGGAUUGCGGGGGGCGGAUGAUGGCCUCCCGUGCGCCUCGCCGCGCGGUUGGCAUAAAUGCCAAGUCCUCGGCGACGCACGCCACGACAAUCGGUGGUUGCGAAACCUCGGUUGCCCGUCGUGUGCGGUCGUCGCGCAUCGAGGGCUCGAAAAAAUUGCCGGGUUCCGGCUCGGCUUUCAACGCGACCCCAGGUCAGGCGGGGUUACCCGCUGAAUUUAAGCAUAUCAAUAAGCGGAGGA
rnacentral:misc_RNA from 1 species